rnacentral:rRNA from 1 species
GACGAACGCUGGCGGCGUGCCUAACACAUGCAGGUCGAACGAUGAAGCUGGAGCUUGCUCCGGUGGAUUAGUGGCGAACGGGUGAGUAACACGUGAGCAAUCUGCCCUUGACUCUGGGAUAACUGCGGGAAACUGUAGCUAAUACCGGAUAUGAGGCUUGGAGGCAUCUCCAGGUCUGCAAAGAAUUUCGGUCAAGGAUGAGCUCGCGGCCUAUCAGCUAGUUGGUGAGGUAAUGGCUCGCCAAGGCGACGACGGGUAGCCGGCCUGAGAGGGUGACCGGCCACACUGGGACUGAGACACGGCCCAGACUCCUACGGGAGGCAGCAGUGAGGAAUAUUGCACAAUGGGCGAAAGCCUGAUGCAGCAACGCCGCGUGAGGGAUGAAGGCCUUCGGGUUGUAAACCUCUUUUAGCAGGGAAGAAGCGAAAGUGACGGUACCUGCAGAAAAAGCACCGGCUAACUACGUGCCAGCCGCCGCCGUAA